GAUGAACGCUGGCGGCGUGCCUAAUACAUGCAAGUCGAGCGAACGGACGAGAAGCUUGCCUCUCUGAUGUUAGCGGCGGACGGGUGAGUAACACGUGGAUAACCUACCUAUAAGACUGGGAUAACUUCGGGAAACCGGAGCUAAUACCGGAUGAUAUUUUGAACCGCAUGGUUCAAAAGUGAAAGACGGUCUUGCUGUCACUUAUAGAUGGAUCCGCGCUGCAUUAGCUAGUUGGUAAGGUAACGGCUUACCAAGGCAACGAUGCAUAGCCGACCUGAGAGGGUGAUCGGCCACACUGGAACUGAGACACGGUCCAGACUCCUACGGGAGGCAGCAGUAGGGAAUCUUCCGCAAUGGGCGAAAGCCUGACGGAGCAACGCCGCGUGAGUGAUGAAGGUCUUCGGAUCGUAAAACUCUGUUAUUAGGGAAGAACAGAUGUGUAAGUAACUGUGCACAUCUUGACGGUACCUAAUCAGAAAGCCACGGCUAACUACGUG
rnacentral:rRNA from 1 species